rnacentral:rRNA from 1 species
CGGAGGGUGCAAGCGUUGUUCGGAAUUAUUGGGCGUAAAGGGCAGGUAGGUGGUCUUGUAAGUCUACUGUGAAAUCCCUGGGCUUAACCCAGGAAGUGCGGUGGAUACUGCAAGACUAGAGUGCUGGAGGGGUGCGUGGAAUUCUUGGUGUAGCGGUGAAAUGCGUAGAUAUCAAGAGGAACACCAGAGGCGAAGGCGGCGCACUGGACAGCAACUGACACUCAACUGCGAAAGCGUGGGGAGCAAACAGGAUUAGAUACCCUGGUAGUCCACGCUGUAAACGAUGGAUGCUAGACGUGGUGGGUCUUGACCCCUGCCGUGUCGAAGUUAACACAAUAAGCAUCCCGCCUGGGGAGUACGGUCGCAAGACUA